rnacentral:rRNA from 1 species
GAUGAACGCUGGCGGCGUGCCUAAUACAUGCAAGUCGAGCGAACGGACGAGAAGCUUGCUUCUCUGAUGUUAGCGGCGGACGGGUGAGUAACACGUGGAUAACCUACCUAUAAGACUGGGAUAACUUCGGGAAACCGGAGCUAAUACCGGAUGAUAUUUUGAACCGCAUGGUUCAAAAGUGAAAGACGGUCUUGCUGUCACUUAUAGAUGGAUCCGCGCUGCAUUAGCUAGUUGGUAAGGUAACGGCUUACCAAGGCAACGAUGCAUAGCCGACCUGAGAGGGUGAUCGGCCACACUGGAACUGAGACACGGUCCAGACUCCUACGGGAGGCAGCAGUAGGGAAUCUUCCGCAAUGGCGAAAGCCUGACGGAGCAACGCCGCGUGAGUGAUGAAGGUCUUCGGAUCGUAAAACUCUGUUAUUAGGGAAGAACAUAUGUGUAAGUAACUGUGCACAUCUUGACGGUACCUAAUCAGAAAGCCACGGCUAACUACGUG